GCGGCUGUGGCGGAAUUGGCAGACGCGCUAGACUUAGGAUCUAGUGGGCUAACGCCCUUGGAGGUUCGAGUCCUCUCAGCCGCA
rnacentral:tRNA from 1 species